rnacentral:rRNA from 1 species
UAAGGAGGAUGCGAGCGUUAUCCGGAUUUAUUGGGUUUAAAGGGUGCGCAGGCGGAACAUUAAGUCAGCGGUAAAAUCGAGGGGCUCAACCCCUUUAAGCCGUUGAAACUGAUGUUCUUGAGUGGGCGAGAAGUAUGCGGAAUGCGUGGUGUAGCGGUGAAAUGCAUAGAUAUCACGCAGAACUCCGAUUGCGAAGGCAGCAUACCGGCGCCCAACUGACGCUGAAGCACGAAAGUGCGGGUAUCGAACAGG